rnacentral:lncRNA from 10 species
AGUUACUGGGGAGCUGCCUCUUGCAUUUGUUCUCUCUGGAGUGUUCCCCCUAUGCCGUUUGUCUUUCCUACCAUUCCAGGCUAUGCCUGGGGUCACCUACUGGGGAAAUCUAGCAGCCUGGUGCCAGCAUCUGGUGAAAGCCUUUGUGCUGUCUCCCCCUAUGGUUACAGGAGACAGUCAAACCAUAGCACCUUCUUCUUGGGAAUCUUGGAAUAAGGCAAAUUAACUUAGGCCGUUGGCCGGGCACAGUGGCUCACGCC